UACGUAGGGUGCAAGCGUUGUCCGGAAUUAUUGGGCGUAAAGAGCUCGUAGGCGGCUUGUUGCGUCGACUGUGAAAACCCGCGGCUCAACCGUUGGGCUUGCAGUCGAUACGGGCAGGCUAGAGUUCGGUAGGGGAGACUGGAAUUCCUGGUGUAGCGGUGAAAUGCGCAGAUAUCAGGAGGAACACCGGUGGCGAAGGCGGGUCUCUGGGCCGAUACUGACGCUGAGGAGCGAAAGCGUGGGGAGCAAACAGG
rnacentral:rRNA from 1 species